rnacentral:rRNA from 1 species
UACGUAGGGUGCGAGCGUUAAUCGGAAUUACUGGGCGUAAAGCGUGCGCAGGCGGUUCGUCGUGUCCGAUGUGAAAGCCCCGGGCUCAACCUGGGAAUGGCAUUGGAAACUGGCGGGCUUGAGUGUGGCAGAGGGGGGUGGAAUUCCGCGUGUAGCAGUGAAAUGCGUAGAUAUCGGGAGGAACACCAGUGGCGAAGGCGACUACCUGGCCUGUUCUUGACGCUGAGGCGCGAAAGCUAGGGGAGCAAACGGG